GAUGAACGCUAGCGGCAGGCCUAACACAUGCAAGUCGAGGGGUAACUAGAGUGAUAGCAAUAUUACUUUGGCUAGACCGGCGCACGGGUGCGUAACACGUAUGCAACCUACCUUAUACUGGGGAAUAACUUCGAGAAAUCGGCACUAAUACCCCAUAACAUUGCGAAGAGGCAUCUCUUUGCACUUAAAGCUCCGGCGGUAUAAGAUGGGCAUGCGUCCAAUUAGCUAGUUGGUGAGGUAACGGCUCACCAAGGCUACGAUUGGUAGGGGUUCUGAGAGGAUGAUCCCCCACACUGGUACUGAGACACGGACCAGACUCCUACGGGAGGCAGCAGUGAGGAAUAUUGCGCAAUGGACGAAAGUCUGACGCAGCCAUGCCGCGUGCAGGAUGACGGCCCUAUGGGUUGUAAACUGCUUUUGUAUGGGAAUAAACCCUUCUACGUGUAGAAGGCUGAAGGUACCAUAAGAAUAAGCACCGGCUAACUCCGUGCCAGCAGCCGCGGUAAUACGGAGGGUGCAAGCGUUAUCCGGAUUUAUUGGGUUUAAAGGGUCCGUAGGCGGGCCGAUAAGUCAGUGGUGAAAGCCCAUAGCUCAACUAUGGAACUGCCAUUGAUACUGUCGGUCUUGAGUAUAUGUGAUGUUGGCGGAAUGUGUAGUGUAGCGGUGAAAUGCUUAGAUAUUACACAGAACACCGAUUGCGAAGGCAGCUGACAAAUAUAUAACUGACGCUGAGGGACGAAAGUGUGGGGAUCAAACAGGAUUAGAUACCCUGGUAGUCCACACCGUAAACGAUGAUUACUAGAUUUUGGCCUUAUGGUCAGAGUCCAAGCGAAAGUGUUAAGUAAUCCACCUGGGGAGUACGUCCGCAAGGAUG
rnacentral:rRNA from 1 species